GAAAUGCGAUAAGUAAUGUGAAUUGCAGAAUUCAGUGAAUCAUCGAAUCUUUGAACGCACAUUGCCCCCGCCAGUAUUCUGGCGGGCAUGCCUGUUCGAGCGUCAUUUCAACCAUCAAGCCCCCGGCUUGUGUUGGGGACCUGCGGCUGCCCGCAGGCCCUGAAAAACAGUGGCGGGCUCGCUGUCACACCGAGCGUAGUAGCAUACAUUCUCGCUCAGGGCGUGCUGCGGGUUCCGGCCGUUAAACGACCUUCAUAACCCAAGGUUGACCUCGGAUCAGGUAGGAAGACCCGCUGAACUUAAGC
rnacentral:misc_RNA from 1 species